AGAGAGGAUGGCAUGAGAAGGCCUUGUGCGUGAGAAAAGAAAAGAAAAGAAGAGAAAAGAAAAGAAGAGAGACUGGGCGCAGGGUUUUCUGUGAGUACCCUAGGGUUAUUGCCUAGGGUUCGGGAAGUGAGAAGGUGAGCUAUGAGUAUCGUGAGCCCACUAGACUUUAGGGAGAGCUUCAUCAACCUCUCAAGUUCCUUUGCUGAUGAUCCAAAGUAUCU
rnacentral:lncRNA from 1 species